GGGGCAGCAUGGUCUUAGCUUGCUAAGGCCGAUGGCGACCGGCGCACGGGUGAGUAACACGUAUCCAACCUGCCGUCUACUCUUGGACAGCCUUCUGAAAGGAAGAUUAAUACAAGAUGGCAUCAUGAGUCCGCAUGUUCACAUGAUUAAAGGUAUUCCGGUAGACGAUGGGGAUGCGUUCCAUUAGAUAGUAGGCGGGGUAACGGCCCACCUAGUCUUCGAUGGAUAGGGGUUCUGAGAGGAAGGUCCCCCACAUUGGAACUGAGACACGGUCCAAACUCCUACGGGAGGCAGCAGUGAGGAAUAUUGGUCAAUGGGCGAGAGCCUGAACCAGCCAAGUAGCGUGAAGGAUGACUGCCCUAUGGGUUGUAAACUUCUUUUAUACGGGAAUAAAGUGAGGCACGCGUGCCUUUUUGUAUGUACCGUAUGAAUAAGGAUCGGCUAACUCCGUGCCAGCAGCCGCGGUAAUGCGGAGGAUCCGAGCGUUAUCCGGAUUUAUUGGGUUUAAAGGGAGCGUAGGCGGACGCUUAAGUCAGUUGUGAAAGUUUGCGGCUCAACCGUAAAAUUGCAGUUGAUACUGGGUGUCUUGAGUACAGUAGAGGCAGGCGGAAUUCGUGGUGUAGCGGUGAAAUGCUUAGAUAUCACGAAGAACUCCGAUUGCGAAGGCAGCCUGCUGGACUGUAACUGACGCUGAUGCUCGAAAGUGUGGGUAUCAAACAGGAUUAGAUACCCUGGUAGUCCACACAGUAAACGAUGAAUACUCGCUGUUUGCGAUAUACAGUAAGCGGCCAAGCGAAAGCGUUAAGUAUUCCACCUGGGGA
rnacentral:rRNA from 1 species